rnacentral:rRNA from 1 species
GCCUGUUUAUCAAAAACAUGGCUCCUUGUAACCUUAUAAAUAAGGAGUCGUACCUGCCCAGUGAAUAUUAUUUUUAACGGCCGCGGUACCCUGACCGUGCAAAGGUAGCAUAAUCAUUUGCCUUAUAAUUAAAGGCUAGUAUGAAUGGUUUGACAAGAAUACAACUGUCUCUUUAUUAAUAUAUAGAAUUUUAUUUAUAAGUGAAGAAGCUUAUAUAAUAUUAAAAGACAAGAAGACCCUAUCGAGCUUUAAAGAAAUUAAUAGAUUACCUCAUUAAUAUUUAUAAAAAAUUAACUAUUAAAAAAUUUUGGUUGGGGCGACUGAGGAACAAAAAAAGCUUCCUUUAUAAAAGUAAGAAUAGUCAAAUAUUGAUCCAAAAGUUUUUGAGCAAGGAAAUUAGUUACCGUAGGGAUAACAGCAUAAUCUUUUUUGAGAGUUCUAAUCGAAAAAAAGGUUUGUGACCUCGAUGUUGGACCAGAAUAUCCCAAAGAUGCAGCAGUCUUUAAAGGUUGGUCUGUUCGACCAUUAAAAUUCUACGUGAUCUGAGUUCA